ACUUUUGACGGUGGAUCUCUUGGCUCACGCAUCGAUGAAGAACGCAGCCAGCUGCGAUAAGUAGUGUGAAUUGCAGAAUUCAGUGAAUCAUCGAAUCUUUGAACGCAAAUGGCGCUCUUGGGUUCUCCCAGGAGCAUGUCUGUCUGAGUGUCAGAUAU
rnacentral:rRNA from 1 species